rnacentral:lncRNA from 15 species
UUUUAUUAUUAUUAAGUUAACUAUCAGUCAGGCAAUAAAUAUACGGUAUAGUCUACAGUGUGUCAUUUAAUAAACGUUGCAGCUUCUCAAAACCAAGGAAAGUGUCUUCAGUUGUUUCCCACCUGCUGGAAAAGUGAAGGGGGUUGGCCCCUACGCCCAUGUACCAAUCCCGCCAUCAUAAAGAGUACUCUCUGCAGUGGAAUCACAAAACAGAUCUGGGGUUUAGGUACUUGUAGGUAAGUGUUAGUUAUGGAAAUAGGGCUUAAGGUUUUGGUGUUUGAAGAGACAUUUGUACCUGUUGAGGGCAGGCAAUGAUUAAUUUUGUCUCUAAUAGUAAUAAUUUUAUCAUAAAAGAAGCUCAUAAAGUCGUUGCUACUUAAGUUUAUGGGGAUAUGUGGCUCAAUAGAGUUGUAACUCUCUGUCAGCCUGGCUACAGUGCUGAAGAAAAACCUGGGGUUGUUAUUUUUUUCUAUUAGUGCUGAAUAAUAAGCUCCUCUGGCAUUACGGAUAUAUCAAUAUCUCUAAUAUAUUAAUAUCUUCUUUUUUAAAGGGGCAAUAGAGUCGAGUCUCAUUCACAAUGAGCCUGCAACACUAUUAACCAAUUCAAUUCAAUUCAAUUCAAUUUUAUUUGUAUAGCGCCAAUUCAUUUCAGUUCAACCAGAUGAUCAAUUUGGGAGGGACUAAGAUUAUCAUAGUAGUCCUCUGUGAACAGUGGAGUAUGUAUCCCUCAGAUCUUUGGGCACCUAAAAGGUUACUGUUAGACUCCAUGUUGGGAACCAGUAUUGUAGAAUAUAUCAUCUACCAUAAGACCAGGGGAAUAGAAACGUAGAAUAUUUAUUUGUUGUACUUCUGUGUUAUAGAGGUUUAAGAUCUCAGACUACUAAAAUAAAUUCUAAUGCUUCCUGGAAGCAUUGUCAGUCUUUUAUCUCACUGACCUGUAACAUGUCUCUGUCCUGUCCAUGUAUCCAUAUGUCUCCAUCCUUUUCAUGUGUUCAUGCUUAAAAAGGGACCGCCGGUGCCCCCACCACCAAAGGUCACACCUACCAAAGAGGUGGCAGAGGAGCAGAUCAUUGACCUGUUUGGAGGAGAAUUUUUACCAGCACCUUCACCAUCGCAGCCCAAUGAAAGACCAGGAGAAUCUCUGCUCGACCUGGACUUUGAUGCCUUUCAACCAGAUGAGAGUGUUUCACCGAUACCACAGACAGCUGUACCUUGGGAUAUGUGGUCGGCAAACGCCCAAACAGCUCAGCCUGCUGCAGACACUGGCUUCGUCGCCGACUGGUCCGCUGACUUUGGUUCAUUGUCAGAAAAUGGAGACCCUGCUUCAGGAGCUGAGGCCCCUGCUGAAGGGCCACAGGGGGCGCAGGGUGGGGCUCAGGGUGGGGCUCAGGGCUUGCCCCAGGCAGACGGCGGGCAGCCGGGUGGAGACACAACUACUCCACCUCAGGACAGUGAGGCAGCCACAGCAGCUGAAGAUGAAGGUUAGCAGAGUACGGGGACCCUCACCGAAAACCUAACCCCAAAACCUUUUACCCGUAACUUUACC